rnacentral:rRNA from 1 species
UACGUGAGGUGCAAACGUUACCCGGAAUUAUUGGGCGUAAAGAGUCCGUAGGUGGUGAAUUAAGUCAGAUGUUAAAUCUUGGAGCUCAACUUCAAGUCUGCGUCCGAAACUGAUUCGCUUGAGUCUUGGAGAGGUGAGUGGAAUUCUGUAUGUAGGGGUAAAAUCCGUAGAUAUACAGAGGAACACCAAAAGCGAAGGCAGCUCACUGGCCAAGUACUGACACUAAAGGACGAAAGCGUAGGUAGCAAAC